rnacentral:lncRNA from 1 species
CAUGGGAAUUUUUCCAUAAUCAAAUAUAUAUAUAUAUUACAUACUUCUAUUGUUAAAGUCAUAAGAAAUAAGUUUUCUGGUUAGGUUAAUGUAAAAGAAAAUAUUGCACCAAUGAAUGCAUACAUGUAUAUACCAUGGUAUACUAUCCAUUUGUAAUUCCUAUAUGCACAUUUUUUACAAUUAUUUUAAAUCCUUAAUUAAUUAAUAUAUAAACAUGACAAAAUAAAAAAAAUCAUUCAGUGAUUGUUGAUAGAAAAACUUGGAUUUUGUGUCUAAGUGAUUGUAUCAUUGCCAUUAUUUGAGGUGAAAGAGUGAUGUAUAUUUGUUUGGAUCAUAUAUGUAUAUUUUUGAUGCAUUUUCAUUUAUUAUUUAAAAUUUGUCACAGUGCUCAGCAAGAUUCCCCUUAUCAUUACAUACAUUUUGAAGAAACCUAAUUAUUUCCUGAUUACCGAAACUCUUGAUUUCAUUUAACAGUAUUUAAGGGGGCUAGUGGGUAUAAAUCCCCUUUUUUUUUCUUUUCUAUAAAUGAAAUUUAUCAUAUACUUAAUAGAAAAAUAAAAUAAAAAUGGGUUCACCGUUUAUUAAAUAGAUAUAGGAAGAUGUGGUGUGAGUGCCCAUAAUCUGCUUUCAAAAGAAUCAUGCAUUUUUGUUAAGGUACUUUUUUCUUAUGAACUAAUAGAAGAAAUAGAGGUAAAUAUUGAUAUAAAACAAAAACUAAAGUACAGAAAGUGCUAAAAUUUUACAAUUUUUUAGUCAUAGCUCAUUUGAAAUAUGACACCGAUGAAUUGAAAAAGAGAUUUCAAUUUUUAUGCAUUUUUGAACCAAAGGGAGAUAAUUUGUAGCUUUUUCAAUGAUAUAAACAUUUUUAAUGUCAUCUGGGACCAAACAGAAUUGAUUUUUUUGGUUUAUUUUCAACCAUACUAUAACCAUGAUAAAUUAACAUUUAAUAGUGAAAUGAAUAAAAUUCGAAAUGAAAAAAAUAUUUAAAAUUUUGAUGAAAUUUUUGUCCCCUCCAGCUUCCUUUAAUAUUUUAAAAACCAUGGUAAUUUU